rnacentral:rRNA from 1 species
CGCCUUGCCAGCCCGCUCAGAACUUAAAGGAAGUUGACGGGGCCCGGCACAAGCGGAGGAACAUGUGGUUUAAUUCGAUGAUACGCGAGGAACCUUCCCCGGGCUUGAAAUGCAUCUGACCGGCCUUGAAAGAGGUUUUUCCCUUCGGGGCAGAUGUGUAGGUGCUGCAUGGUUGUCGUCAGCUCGUGCCGUGAGGUGUCGGCUUAAGUGCCAUAACGAGCGCAACCCUCAUCAUUAGUUACCAUCAGGUAAGGCUGGGGACUCUAAUGAGACUGCCAUCGUAAGAUGUGAGGAAGGUGGGGAUGACGUCAAAUCAGCACGGCCCUUACGUCCGGGGCGACACACGUGUUACAACGGGUGGUACAAAGGGCAGCUACCUGGCGACAGGAUGCUAAUCUCCAAAACCACUCUCAGUUCGGAUCGGAGUCUGCAACUCGACUCCGUGAAGCUGGAUUCGCUAGUAAUCGCGCAUCAGCCACGGCGCGGUGAAUACGUUCCCGGGCCUU